GCCAGGUGCAGUGGCGGGCACCUGUAAUCCCAGCUACUCGGGAGGCUGAGGCAGGAGAAUUGCUUGAUCCCAGGAGACGGAGGUUGCAGUGAGCCGAGAUCACGCCACUGCACUUCAGCCUGGGUGACCAAGCAAGACUCUGUCUUUA
rnacentral:SRP_RNA from 1 species